rnacentral:rRNA from 1 species
GAUUUCUGGCUUGAAACACUUUGCCGGCCACGGUUUCGUGUGUUAGUGCUUUGUGUUCUGGCCAUCCUUCCAAUCGCUAUUGGCUCUUCUUCAUUGAUUGGUCAGUAGUAUUGGAUCUUUUACUUUGAAAAAAUUAGAGUGUUUCAAGCAGGCUUUAUGCUAUGAAUACAUUAGCAUGGAAUAAUAAUUUAGGACUUUUGUUCCUGUUUUGUUGGUUUAUUGGACGGAAGUAAUGAUUGAUAGGGAUAGUUGGGGGUGCUAGUAUUCAGCGGCCAGAGGUGAAAUUCUUGGAUUCGCUGAAGACUAACUUAUGCGAAAGCAUU